AGCACGCCAGCGUCCAUAGGAAAGCAUUGUAAAUGCUUUCCUAUGCGACCGGCUGAAUGCGCGCGCAGCUCUUGCCACGCGUGCGCAUUCAGCCGGCGGGGAGGAGCGAAGGAGGAGAGCUCUCCGCCCAGCGCUGGAAAAAGGUAAGUUUUAACCCCUUUCCAGAGCCGGGCGGGAGGGGGUCCCUGAGGGUGUGGGCACCCUCAGGGCACUAUAGUGCCAGGAAAACAAGUAUGUUUUCCUGGCACUAUAGUGGUCCUUUAACGAUAC